GCCGGGGUUUUCCCCGUGGACCGACCCACGUCUUAACUCCCAGAAUGCCAGGACGUGGUGGCAUCCUGUGGGCCACGAUGGUGACGUGGACCCACCCAACGCAGCCUGCCCAUCAGACUCGGUGGGCGAGUGUCAGAAAGGGGCCAGGAGGCAGGCACCCAGCUCCACUCCUCCCACAUGUCGCCCUCCCCACCCGGUGACCAGGCAGCCAGGCCUAAGCACAAGAUGGACUGGGAACUGGGUUUUUCCAGUUUUAUCAGCUGCCGGGACUCAGGGACCCUGGACUGCAGAUAUCCCCUGAAGUGACAGCACUCCAGCCAGAUGCCCGGCUCUGAGCCCAGGGGAGGGCCAGGCUGGACGGCACAGCUGCCCUGGACCUGGGCCGGGAGGCCAGCGGACGGCUGGGGCUGCCCUGGCAGCGACCCCGCCCCGGCAGGUCCGACACGCCUGGUCUAAGUACCCCAACCCCAAUCUUCCCCACGUCUCUGAGACCUGCUCCAGGUCUCACCUCCCAGAAAGCCCUCAGGGGCUCUGGGGCGCCAGAGCCCUGGGUGCCCCCAAGUCCCACAAAACCGUGGGAACAGGACCCUGGAGAGUGUCAUUCACACGUCCUGGGCCCUCCUCGUCAGGGUGGAGUGGGCACGGUGCCCCAGUACCUGGAGCUGCCCCCGCCCAGACCCAACCAGGGGUGCCCGAGAGGCCCUCCUAGAGCCAUCUGGAGACAGCUGUGACAAAGCCCUGGGGGCUGGUGCGGGGCGUGCGCAGUGUGUGGCCCCUUCUCACCGUCCAGUGCUGGUUUUGCAGAUCAGGAUGCUGGCACCCCCGACCCCGUCAGGCCUGUUUAUUCCUGGGGGUGGGAAGGGGCACAGGGAAGAGGGGACACCCCACUCCCACAUCUCCCUGCCUGGCGGCAGGAGGAGCCACGCCACCCACCCACAGGCACCUGAUGUGUGACAAUCUAGUGGUGGGGAGACAGCCUCGAGUGCAGGGUGGAGGAGACACACACAGGAAGCCCCGUCUGGCCCCCAGACCCAUUGCAGACUCAGGUAGCCCUGAGCGAGGAACAGAGUGGUCGUGAGCCCAAGCAUGAGGGCGUGUGCAAGCAUGUGCGCAGGUGUGCAGGUGUGUGUGCGCGUGCUUGUGUGUGUCCCCAGGAAGGGGGCUCAUGGGCCAUCCCCGGGUCGGGGAUGCGGACUGACCAGGACUUGGUUCCGAGCCUGGGAGAAGGGAAGGAAGGACCAGCCCCCAAACCCUGCAGCCUGGGUCUGAGCCAA